rnacentral:rRNA from 1 species
GACGAGGGGUCCAAGCGUUGUCCGGAGUUACUGGGCGUAAAGGGUGCGUAGGAGGUUACGUUAGUCUCUGUUUAAAUUCCAAGGCCCAACUUUGGAGCUGGCAGAGAAACGGCGUAACUGGAGGGCGCGAGAGGCAAGCGGAACUCAUGGUGGAGGGGUGAAAUCCGUUGAUAUCAUGGGGAACACCAAAGGCGAAGGCAGCUUGCUGGCGCGUACCUGACUCUGAAGCACGAAAGCGUGGGGAUCAAAAAGG